rnacentral:rRNA from 1 species
GGCGAGUGAAGCGGCAAAAGCUCAAAUUUUAAAGCUGACAUCUUCGGUGUCCGCGUUGUAAUUUUGUGAGGCAUCUCCGGGUAGGGCGCCGGCCUAAGUUCCUUGGAACAGGACGUCACAGAGGGUGAGAAUCCCGUGCUUGGCUGGCUGUCCCCGUCCAUGUGAGGUGUCUUCGACGAGUCGAGUUGUUUGGGAAUGCAGCUCAAAAUGGGUGGUAAAUUUCAUCUAAAGCUAAAUAUUGGUGGGAGACCGAUAGCGCACAAGUAGAGUGAUCGAAAGAUGAAAAGCACUUUGAAAAUAGAGUUAAAAAGUACGUGAAAUUGUUGAAAGGGAAGCGCUUGAGACCAGACUUCGGUAAGGGGUGAUCAGCCGUCCUUCUGGGCGGUGCACUUGCCCCCCUCCGGGCCAGCAUCGGUUGAGGCGGCGGGAUAAAGGUCCCGGGAAUGUGGCUCCUUCACGGGAGUGUUAUAGCCCGGGUGAAUGCCGCCAGCUUCGACCGAGGACCGCACCCGCAAGGGUUAGGAUGCUUGGCAUAAUGGUCUUCAGCGACCCGUCUUGAAACACGGACCAAGGAGUCUAACAUCUAUGCGAGUGUUUGGGUGUCAAACCCUUGCGCGAAAUGAAAGUGAACGGAGGUGGGAACCCGCAAGGGCGCACCAUCGACCGGUCCCGAAGUCUUCUGAAGGAUCUGAGUAGGAGCAUAGCUGUUGGGACCCGAAGAUGGUGAACUAUGCCUGAAUAGGGUGAAGCCAGAGGAACUCUGGUGGAGCUCGCAGCGGUUCUGACGUGCAAUCGA